rnacentral:rRNA from 1 species
AGCGAACGCUGGCGGCAGGCCUAACACAUGCAAGUCGAACGAACCCUUCGGGGUUAGUGGCGGACGGGUGAGUAACACGUGGGAACGUGCCUUUAGGUUCGGAAUAACUCAGGGAAACUUGUGCUAAUACCGAAUGCGCCCUUCGGGGGAAAGAUUUAUCGCCUUUAGAGCGGCCCGCGUCUGAUUAGCUAGUUGGUGAGGUAAUGGCGCACCAAGGCUACGAUCAGUAGCUGGUCUGAGAGGAUCACCAGCCACAUUGGGACUGAGACACGGCCCAAACUCCUACGGGAGGCAGCAGUGGGGAAUCUUGCGCAAUGGGCGAAAGCCUGACGCAGCCAUGCCGCGUGGAUGAUGAAGGUCUUAGGAUUGUAAAAUCCUUUCACCGGUGAAGAUAAUGACUGUAGCCGGAGAAGAAGCCCCGGCUAACUUCGUGCCAGCCGCCGCAGUAACAC